AUUGAACGCUGGCGGCAGGCCUAACACAUGCAAGUCGAGCGGUAGAGAGAAGCUUGCUUCUCUUGAGAGCGGCGGACGGGUGAGUAAUGCCUAGGAAUCUGCCUGGUAGUGGGGGAUAACGCUCGGAAACGGACGCUAAUACCGCAUACGUCCUACGGGAGAAAGCAGGGGACCUUCGGGCCUUGCGCUAUCAGAUGAGCCUAGGUCGGAUUAGCUAGUUGGUGAGGUAAUGGCUCACCAAGGCGACGAUCCGUAACUGGUCUGAGAGGAUGAUCAGUCACACUGGAACUGAGACACGGUCCAGACUCCUACGGGAGGCAGCAGUGGGGAAUAUUGGACAAUGGGCGAAAGCCUGAUCCAGCCAUGCCGCGUGUGUGAAGAAGGUCUUCGGAUUGUAAAGCACUUUAAGUUGGGAGGAAGGGCAGUAACCUAAUACGUUGC
rnacentral:rRNA from 1 species